AUGGCCACAUGCACCAUAUGUGGCAUGGAGGAUGAAUCGGAAUUUCAUGCGGUCAUUGCUUGCACUAAAGCGAGAGCACUCAGGGAUGAAAUUAGGAGAGUAUGGCAGCUGCCGCCGGAAAGAUGCUUCCGAAAUACUGGACAUGAUUGGCUCCUUUGUUUACUGUAUACCUGCAAGGAAACCAUGCGUUCCAGAGUUCUGCUAAUCAUUUGGAGAUCAUGGCAUCUUCGGAAUAACUGCGUNNNNNNNNNNGUCUCUGUCUCGGUCGAUUUCUUAUUAAAAUACGAGCAAGAGUUGAAGCCCUGCAUGGAGAUGGACAUGAUCUUCAAUGGGAAACAGUCUCCAUUCCCUGAUAAACUUAAAGGCGAACUGAAAGACAAAAAUUCUAACUGGGCAGCACCCUAA
rnacentral:rRNA from 1 species